UAUUUUAAAGAGAGUUUGAUCCUGGCUCAGGACGAACGCUGGCGGCGUGCCUAAUACAUGCAAGUCGAACGAACGGAGGAAGAGCUUGCUCUUCCAAAGUUAGUGGCGGACGGGUGAGUAACACGUGGGCAACCUGCCUGUAAGUUGGGGAUAACUCCGGGAAACCGGGGCUAAUACCGAAUGAUAAAGUGUGGCGCAUGCCACGCUUUUGAAAGAUGGUUUCGGCUAUCGCUUACAGAUGGGCCCGCGGUGCAUUAGCUAGUUGGUAGGGUAAUGGCCUACCAAGGCAACGAUGCAUAGCCGACCUGAGAGGGUGAUCGGCCACACUGGGACUGGAUCUUCCGCAAUGGACGAAAGUCUGACGGAGCAACGCCGCGUGUAUGAAGAAGGUUUUCGGAUCGUAAAGUACUGUUGUUAGAGAAGAACAAGGAUAAGAGUAACUGCUUGUCCCUUGACGGUAUCUAACCAGAAAGCCACGGCUAACUACGUGCCAGCAGCCGCGGUAAUACGUAGGUGGCAAGCGUUGUCCGGAUUUAUUGGGCGUAAAGCGCGCGCAGGCGGUCUUUUAAGUCUGAUGUGAAAGCCCCCGGCUUAACCGGGGAGGGUCAUUGGAAACUGGAAGACUGGAGUGCAGAAGAGGAGAGUGGAAUUCCACGUGUAGCGGUGAAAUGCGUAGAUAUGUGGAGGAACACCAGUGGCGAAGGCGACUCUCUGGUCUGUAACUGACGCUGAGGCGCGAAAGCGUGGGGAGCAAACAGGAUUAGAUACCCUGGUAGUCCACGCCGUAAACGAUGAGUGCUAAGUGUUAGGGGGUUUCCGCCCCUUAGUGCUGCAGCUAACGCAUUAAGCACUCCGCCUGGGGAGUACGACCGCAAGGUUGAAACUCAAAGGAAUUGACGGGGGCCCGCACAAGCGGUGGAGCAUGUGGUUUAAUUCGAAGCAACGCGAAGAACCUUACCAGGUCUUGACAUCCUUUGACCACUCUGGAGACAGAGCUUUCCCUUCGGGGACAAAGUGACAGGUGGUGCAUGGUUGUCGUGGUUAGUCCCGCAACGAGCGCAACCCUUGAUUUUAGUUGCCAGCAUUUAGUUGGGCACUCUAAAGUGACUGCCGGUGCAAGCCGGAGGAAGGUGGGGAUGACGUCAAAUCAUCAUGCCCCUUAUGACCUGGGCUACACACGUGCUACAAUGGAUAGUACAAAGGGUCGCGAAGCCGCGAGGUGGAGCUAAUCCCAUAAAACUAUUCUCAGUUCGGAUUGUAGGCUGCAACUCGCCUACAUGAAGCCGGAAUCGCUAGUAAUCGUGGAUCAGCAUGCCACGGUGAAUACGUUCCCGGGCCUUGUACACACCGCCCGUCACACCACGAGAGUUUGUAACACCCGAAGUCGGUAGGGUAACCUUUAUGGAGCCAGCCGCCGAAGGUGGGACAGAUAAUUGGGGUGAAGUCGUAACAAGGUAGCCGUAUCGGAAGGUGCGGCUGGAUCACCUCCUUUCUAAGGAA
rnacentral:rRNA from 1 species